UCAACACGGGACGUGAGGAUUGCUACUAAAUCUCUUCGCUUGCAGUCUUACUUUUGAAUCUGACUUCAUACAAGGAACAUUUAAGUCUAAUGGUUAAUUAGGGGCUCGAUCGCAUAAAAAUUGCUCACGUUCAAGGGUGUGCACCAAGAAGCAAAAGUACAAAUUGAUCUUUGAGUUUUACAGGGAGAGGAGCAGGCCUUGAUCCCAAAGUAAAAUUAAAAUAUUUAAUUCAUAUAUGUUCAUACAUAUAUACUCGUGUAUGCUUUUAUUUACACCCCUAUGUGUUCUCGGCUUUUCUUAAUAGAAAUUCAUCUAAAUUAAAAAAUUGGAAAACGCUUCGAUAAAGUAUGUCAAUCCACUCAAGAAGGGUUCCCAUCGUGAAUACAGUGGCUAAACUGCAAGUCAAGAGGGAAAACACGCCCACACCGAUUACAGCAAAUCCGAGAAGCUAAAAGUGGUAAUUUGGGUUAGAAAAUGUAAGGAAAUGAGAAUUCAAUGCAAUACUCACGCCUUGCAACAAAUACACGUGGCCAAAUUUUGCUUGCUUUGCUACCUUCGGUGUAUUCUUUUCGGCUUCCAAUUGUUUUGAUAAAUGGAAUAAGGCGAUUACAG